AAAAAAUUCAUUCUCUUUCUCUCCUUCUGGGCUAAACCCAGAAACUGGCCAAGAAGGCCACCGACGGUCGGUCGUCGCGCCACCGUGGCUCUACCGCCGUCGACCGCCAUGUACGAUGGCCGGAGCUCGAAAAGAAGCCUCUUUUUCAGCCAAUCGGAGAGUAGGUAAAAAAAUUCCGCUUUUUAUAUAUUUUGAUAUAUAUAGGUAUAUAAAAUAAUUUUGGGAAAAAUAAGAAGAAAAUAAAAACGAAAUAAAGAAAUACCCUUUUUGAACUUGAUUUCUUUGUUCGAUAACGAAAUAAAGAAAUACCCUUUUUGAACUUGAUUUCUUUGUUCGAUUUCCCUCUGUUUUUGUAUUUGAAUGCUUUUUUUUAUUUUGCUUGAAUCUCUGCUUUUUUAUUUAAAAAUCUCGUUUUCUUUAUUCAUUCUCUCUCUGAAAAAAUUACAUUUUUCUUCUGGCUAUUUAUAGCCGAAUACAAAAGUUUUUUGUCUAUUGUUUGCUACUGUCAUUGCUUCUGUUUGCCUCUGUUUCUUUGCCGUUUUGGUUUUCCUCUACAGGUUCGGCGUUCGAUCAACGAAGGCAGGUGGCCAUUUUGGUGUUAGCGUGCCAGGGGAGCCGACCCUCGAGCGAAGGACGUGCUGACGAGGCACGUGGGUGACAGUAGGGAGGCGCGGCGCUGAAGGGGAUUCAAAAACCCUAGGGUUUCUGAAUUGUUUUAGGCUAUUGGGCCUAUUGGGACAGUAGGAAUUAGGUUAGGGGUUCGGCCUUGAUAUGGGUUUGGUGAAAUUUGGGCUUUUGAUGUUGUAAAUGGACUUUAAUAAUUUUGGACUUUAUUUUGGUUGUUUUGUUUUUUUGGUUUCUAAUGGGCCGGGCAAAAUAGGCCUCUUACAAGAACUAAAUUGAUAAAAUUUGUAAAUGUGGAUGAUUCAAUUUGUUGAAUUAUUUAAAAUGAAGGUUGAUUUGAUAAAAUUUAUAAGUGUAUUAUAUGAAGUAAACUAUUUUCACUAACAAUUUAAUGAGAUGACCAAAACAAAAAUAAAUAAUAAUGUUAGUGAUAAAAUUGAAUUUUUUUUUAUAGUUGAAUGAUUAAAAUAAUAACACUCAGCUAAUUAUAUAAUUUACUUUUAGAAAGAUCAAACAAAAUAGGUGGGGGCAACCAUUUUACUCUUAAAACUACAUGACUUUCAAUGAUUUGUUGGGUUUGAAAAUUAUAGGACCUAACAAACAACAUUAACUUAAUAAAUUCUGCC
rnacentral:lncRNA from 1 species